rnacentral:rRNA from 1 species
GACGAAAGUCUGACGGAGCAACGCCGCGUGUACGACGAAGGUCUUCGGAUUGUAAAGUACUGUCUUCAGGGACGAACGGUAUCUAUGUAAAUAAUGUAGAUACAUGACGGUACCUGAGGAGGAAGCCCCGGCUAACUACGUGCCAGCAGCCGCGGUAAUACGUAGGGGGCAAGCGUUGUCCGGAAUCAUUGGGCGUAAAGGGCGCGUAGGCGGAUAUUUAAGUCUGGUGUGAAAGACCAGGGCUCAACCCUGGGGUUGCACCGGAAACUGGAUAUCUUGAGGACAGGAGAGGAAAGUGGAAUUCCACGUGUAGCGGUGAAAUGCGUAGAUAUGUGGAGGAACACCAGUGGCGAAGGCGACUUUCUGGACUGUAACUGACGCUGAGGCGCGAAAGCGUGGGGAGCAAACAGGAUUAGAUACCCUGGUAGUCCACGCCGUAAACGAUGAGUGCUAGGUGUAGAGGGUAUCGACCCCCUCUGUGCCGCAGUUAACACAAUAAGCACUCCGCCUGGGGAGUA